UACGAAGGGGGCUAGCGUUGCUCGGAAUGACUGGGCGUAAAGGGCGCGUAGGCGGUUCGUACAGUUGGGUGUGAAAUUCCUGGGCUUAACCUGGGGGCUGCAUUCGAUACGUGCGGGCUAGAGUGGGGAAGAGGGUCGUGGAAUUCCCAGUGUAGAGGUGAAAUUCGUAGAUAUUGGGAAGAACACCGGUGGCGAAGGCGGCGACCUGGUCCUUGACUGACGCUGAGGCGCGAAAGCGUGGGGAGCAAACAG
rnacentral:rRNA from 1 species